rnacentral:rRNA from 1 species
UACGUAGGGAGCAAGCGUUGUUCGGAAUUAUUGGGCGUAAAGAGCUCGUAGGCGGCUUGUCACGUCGGGUGUGAAAGCCCGGGGCUUAACCCCGGGUCUGCAUUCGAUACGGGCUAGCUAGAGUGUGGUAGGGGAGAUCGGAAUUCCUGGUGUAGCGGUGAAAUGCGCAGAUAUCAGGAAGAACACCGGUGGCGAAGGCGGAUCUCUGGGCCAUUACUGACGCUGAGGAGCGAAAGCGUGGGGAGCGAACAGG